rnacentral:lncRNA from 1 species
UGUGUGGCUGAUUGAUGUUGUAGGGCAAGAGUAGUGAUGGCUUCUUCCUCAGCAGCCGACACAGUGCCUUUCAGCAUUAUGAAAGUUUACUAUCAGCUUAGUAGUUUCCAGGUCAAUUCCAGAUUGGUUAAUUUUAUUCUGAAAAUAUGUGGUAUUUUCAGCAAUAGGGCCUUGCCUAAUAGUAAUUGUGUAAAAUCAAGAAUAAUAGCCUAUGUUGUUUUGAGGACUUCUGGGGUAUCCCUUACAAGAAUUUUACAGUAUAUCCCAUGUUUGGAACUGAGGUAUUAGACAAUAAUCAUAUACACAUGCAAAAAAAUAAAAUUGCUUUCCAAGC